UCUUGGCAUCCAGAAAGGAACAACAAGAACUCAGGUCCUGACCUAUAGCUUGUAAGUUACAAGAAAUCCAUCAUCAGAUUUCACUGGGAAGAGGAAAAGGUGUCGUCCUUAAUGUUGACUGGUAAACUGAGCAAGUCACCAGGUUAAACUGGCUCCUCCACUUUCCAAACAGGUACUUCAUACAAAAACCUUCAUUAUUUAGUAAAGACUUGAUAUCAGAACCAAAAGCCUUCAGAUUUAAGGUUUUUUUUGUUGCGGAAUUAUGCUGCAGGAAUCUUAAACAGACACGCAGGUGGUUCCUGAAUUAUGUAUCUAGAAACUGCUGUUUUAAAUUAGACUCUAGCUGGCAAAGCUAAACUCACACCUGUUUAUCCUGCGGAACUGGAAAUUAGAUGUACAGUAAGUCGAUCAACAAGUUUUUCAUAUUGCCGUUAGAAUAAACAGUAAUUGGUGAUCAGCCAAACUUUUCGAGUGCCUUUAUCAAGUUAAAAUCUCGCUUUGUCUAAUAGUUUAACUUGUGAUAGUGUUUAUUUUGUCAGGCUAAUGAAGACGAUGACUUAAUAUUUUCAUCAACUAACUGUUUUCCUCGACUAAGAUGACAAAAUGACAAGCGGGCGCCAAGAUGAUUAAAAACUAGCUGUAGCGAUAUUAGCAGGCACUUUUCUGUUGAUGAGACUAAACUGUGAAAUAAAAGUGUUUCUCUAUAUUUGUUUGAAUUAAAUAUCUUGGACUGUUUUCCUUUUUUUUGGUUCAGUGCAUCCGUUUCUCGUCGGCUGCUCCAGGCACCACAUCAGGACGAAACAAUGAACACAGUCAGGACUCAAAGGAUUAUUUCCGAUGUUCAAAGGGCAAGUUCGUCACGUGCUUCUGGUGACCAGAAACAGUCUCCCGCGGGACAGUCUGAGACUUCUUCGCUUCACACCGCACAGAACUGAGCCCGACAGGAUGCCGACAGCUGCUGUGGUUUCUGUGCAUCACUGCGUCUGUGGCUGCACUCACACCAGAUCUUUAACCUGCUGUGUUUUUUUUUUCUUCUCUUUUUGCCUGAAAACAAACGUUACUGCACUGAUCGCAGAUGAAC